rnacentral:rRNA from 1 species
AGCGAACGUUAGCGGCGGGCCUAACACAUGCAAGUCGAACGCGAAAGGUCUUCGGACUGAGUAGAGUGGCGCACGGGUGAGUAACACGUAGGUAAUCUACCCUUUGGCGGGGGAUAACGUUCCGAAAGGAGCGCUAAUACCGCAUAAGACCACGGAGUCUCCGGACGCUGUGGGAAAAGGUGGCCUCUUCUUGAAAGCUACCACCGAAGGAUGAGCCUGCGUCCCAUCAGCUAGUUGGUAAGGUAAUGGCUUACCAAGGCGAAGACGGGUAGCUGGUUUGAGAGAAUGAUCAGCCACACUGGCACUGGAACACGGGCCAGACUCCUACGGGAGGCAGCAGUGAGGAAUAUUGGGCAAUGGGCGAAAGCCUGACCCAGCCACGCCGCGUGAGUGAUGAAGGCCCUCGGGUCGUAAAGCUCUGUGGAGAGGGACGAAAACCCUGGUUUCAAAUAGGCUCCAGGCUUGACGGUACCUCUUUAGCAAGCACCGGCUAACUCUGUGCCAGCAGCCGCGG